AAACAUCUGAGUACACGUAAUCAAGAAUGCCCUCUGUCUUGUGCUUUCCCAUCUUGAACUAUACUCUGGACUAUUUUCCAAUUACACAUAACUUGCUGCUGGAUUUUAUGCGCAAUAUUAAAGAGAUGAAAAACGGAAAUCAACACAAGAAUUUUACGUGGUUCGGCGAUGUGCCUACGUCCACGAGAGCGAAGCGGAGAUUUCUUUAUUCUGUUGUGAAAAAUAGGGUUACAACAUAUUAUUUAUACUAACCCUAAUCUGGGCCCAUAUAAAACUUUAAGGCCCGUACAGAAAAUACCCCUGUACCAUACCGCGGGGG
rnacentral:lncRNA from 1 species